rnacentral:rRNA from 1 species
AACGAACGCUGGCGGCAUGCCUAACACAUGCAAGUCGAACGAGACCUUCGGGUCUAGUGGCGCACGGGUGCGUAACGCGUGGGAACCUGCCUUUAGGUUCGGAAUAACUCAGAGAAAUUUGAGCUAAUACCGGAUGAUGUCUUCGGACCAAAGAUUUAUCGCCUUUAGAUGGACCCGCGUUGGAUUAGCUAGUUGGUGGGGUAAAGGCCUACCAAGGCGACGAUCCAUAGCUGGUCUGAGAGGAUGAUCAGCCACACUGGGACUGAGACACGGCCCAGACUCCUACGGGAGGCAGCAGUGGGGAAUAUUGGACAAUGGGCGAAAGCCUGAUCCAGCAAUGCCGCGUGAGUGAUGAAGGCCUUAGGGUUGUAAAGCUCUUUUACUCGAGAUGAUAAUGACAGUAUCGGGAGAAUAAGCUCCGGCUAACUCCGUG